ACGCUCUCAUAGCUUCACUCUGGAAGAAUUUAAGAGACCUUAAAGUCAUAAAAUAUAACCUCCCAGAGAACCAACCUACGCUGAGUAUUGGCAGCAUUAACAGUAACAGAACUUAUUGGUCUUAUAAUCAGAAAAUCCGAGGAGCUCCUCUGGUUCGUCCUAUCACCGUCCAGUCUCAACAAAACACAUCCACUCGUGCUCGUUCAAACGUGGCCAUCUGGUGGUCCAAACAACACGAGGGGGAGAAUGACGUCACUACGCCAUGUUUCACCCAAACACAUGAAAGGACAUCGACCUCUCAGCACCGCUUUGCAAAGUUUGAAGCAGAUCACAUGAAGGGUUGUCCAGAAAAGCAAUUCUUUGAUUUAGCAGAGAAACCGGUCAGUAGGAAAGAUCCAUGGAGAUGAAGGAAAUGUGAAUAACAGCUACGGACAGGAAAGAAAUGCAUCAAUCGUUUUAAUAUUUGGAAACCAGAAAAGCUCCGAUCUGGAAAAUCUGGGAUCCAGAAGACGCUCGGAUUUCAUCGCCACUCAUCAUGUUAAGUUCCUAUCUUCAUGCCUCCACUCCUGGGCUCCUGACCCCGCUGGCUAUGAAACUUGACUGAUCCCACUCAGGAAUUUGCCCUAUAUCACAAGAGCUGGGGCCCAUUGGAGAAGCGAAUCACAUGACCAGUAUGUAGGUAUAAUGAAGAUGGACGGGCUGCAGAGAGCGCUGACAGUACAAGUCACAUUCCUCAGGCUGCUUCUCACUCACACAUCCCCACAUGCUUAUAUCACUGUGGUAUGCUUUACUUGAUGAGCUUCAUCCUAACCUAUUCAGUGUAUUCAAACUUUUCCCCUUCAAUAUGCAGAAAAAGUCACAAACAUACUUCAGUUAUGCCGUGAUUGUGUUAUUAACAUGAUCGUGCGUGGACCCCGAUGGAGGGGAAAGAGGCCGACACUCUUUUCACACUGUUUCUCCAUCUGUGAAGAGAAAACGCCACCCUGCUUUUGACAAGUGUGUGCGCUUAUGCUUGCUUUCUGUUAAUUAGCUCUCGGUGUCUGCCUGCAUGUGGACUUUUAUUUGGUGACGCAGAGUAAAGUUUGCUAAUCAAGUCAAACACUGCGCUGCUGUGGUGGAGGCUUUCAAAAAUGUGCAGAACAAUCAAACCACCAGCUUUCAAGCCAGAUAAUGGCGACCACGUUACAGUAUAGAAAGGCUCACACUGGUUUCCUCACUAAGACCACACACAGCUCCAGUGUCAUGUCUCUGCUUCUUUUCCUUCUGAUUAACAUUACAGGAAGCUUUGGGAAAAUGUGAUGCCAAGGUUUGCUGUUUAUUCAGGAUAUAUAUUAAAAGUGUUUUUUGCAGCUUUGGAAAAGCAUGAAUUCAAAGAACCACAAAAAUGGUGAACUGGCAGCUGAGCAACAUCUCUCAAGAGUUCAACGAGUCUAUUACUGACACGAGCAGACACACAAAGCACCAAAUAUUGACUUUUUCAAGAGCCCGUCCUUCUUUAGCGCUGGGCUGGCAGAGCAAACGGCUGGACUGCCACAGCACUGUCUUUCAUCCUAACAACCCCUCAUGUCCCACCCCCGGGCCUCUGUCUGCUUGUACACCUACAGCACUGCUUUCUCCAUGUGGGGGGCCUGCAUCACUUCAAAGCGCCCUGUGUUGGAGCUCCAGUUGGGUGACAAACAGCUACAGCCCAGCUGAGCAGGAUCACACUUGUCAGUGCAAAGGAAACACAUGCUGGAGAGUGACUGUGGCUAGAGUGGCUACUUGUGGUUUGGACCAAGGGAGUGACUGAAUAAGAUUGCAUGUCCAUAUACUCAAACAUAAAGGCAGAACGUGCAUUUAUGUGAGUGCAUGCAGGCUUUGCUAGCCUUAAAAGAGAAAGAAGUUUGGCAGAUGUGCAAAGGAAGAUUCACAGAUCUUUGUAAAAAGAAAAAAAUACAAGCAACAAGCUCAU